rnacentral:rRNA from 1 species
AUUGAACGCUGGCGGCAUGCCUUACACAUGCAAGUCGAACGGCAGCACGGGUGCUUGCACCUGGUGGCGAGUGGCGAACGGGUGAGUAAUACAUCGGAACAUGUCCUGUAGUGGGGGAUAGCCCGGCGAAAGCCGGAUUAAUACCGCAUACGAUCCACGGAUGAAAGCGGGGGACCUUCGGGCCUCGCGCUAUCGGGUUGGCCGAUGGCUGAUUAGCUAGUUGGUGGGGUAAAGGCCUACCAAGGCGACGAUCAGUAGCUGGUCUGAGAGGACGACCAGCCACACUGGGACUGAGACACGGCCCAGACUCCUACGGGAGGCAGCAGUGGGGAAUUUUGGACAAUGGGCGAAAGCCUGAUCCAGCAAUGCCGCGUGUGUGAAGAAGGCCUUCGGGUUGUAAAGCACUUUUGUCCGGAAAGAAAUCCUUGGCUCUAAUACAGUCGGGGGAUGACGGUACCGGAAGAAUAAGCACCGGCUAACUACGUG